rnacentral:lncRNA from 1 species
UCACCCAAAAUUUACACAAUAUUUUCUUCUCCAAAAAUGGAGGCUACAAAGUCUCAAGCUAAAACCUAGAAAAUUAGGGAAGAAGGAAUGUGAUGGAAUGAAUAGGGUUUGGGUCAUUCGGCGCAAAUUUGGGCAGUUACAAAUUUUCCCCUAAGUUGAUUCCUCCACUUUGAUCACGCAUAUUUGAAUACAUCUGUAGCUACCUGAUCACAGCUAACAUCCACAUCCAUGGUUGGAAUACUUUUCCCUGAUUGUCGUGAUCCCGGUCACUGACUGCGACCGCGGUACCCAAGGCUCUCUUUUUCCAUGUCUUCAACUGCCCUUUGCUUGCUUCUUUUUUGAUCAUUCUCUGCUCUAUUCCACAUCUUCUAAUCUCCUCGACCUUAUUCCUACAAAAUAUGGAUAUUAGUUCAUUUAAUCACAAUUAUGUCUUAUUUAUUCAUUCAAAACAAACCAAUGUGCAUGAGUAACGAGCACAAAAGAGUGGUAAAAUCACCACUCAGCAACACCCCUAACUUAAAUAAUUUACUUGUCCUUAAGCAUCAUUACUUCUUACCAUGAGACAAAUCCAUCUAAGCCCAACCUAUAUGCCUUAAAGAUCACAAUGACUUCGACUUUAAUCACAACCAUAAAUAACUCAUUGCACAUGAGCUAAUCUAUCUUUACCAUACCCCUCAUUAUAAGAUGCACUAUUAAACGAUGCACAAAACUUCAAAGAACAAUCAAGAAACAAUCACUAAUGCUCUAGAAUGACUCUUUUUUAGACUAAACUAAGGUGUACUCCAUUUGACUCAUCACUCGCAAGGUGACAAAAUCACCCACCUCAAGUAGUUUUAUAUGCCAACCUCAAAAGAAAAAAAAUUCACACACCAAGUUACAAAAUAUGCAAUGAGGAUUAUUAAGUUUAUAACUCUCUCUCUCACACACAAAAUAAAUCAUUAUGCAACAAGUGUCAUACCAUAGGAUUGCCCCUCUUUUCAAUCGCCACUAUAAAGAAAGAAGAGGUUGGAGAUCUCGAAGGACUUUCUAAGCUUGUAAUAUAGGUUCGGGUUAGGGUAGGACAUCUCUUUGGUACUAACAUAGCUACACCGUUUAAUGAAUGUCUAUUUCAUACUUUUCGAAGUUCUUUUUUAUAAAUACGGGCCACUCCUUGCUUUCUUUCUUUUAUCAUGCCUAUGUUUUGCUUCCAUUGUUCACCCAAAUUUUUUUAUCUUAUUUUCAGGCAAUCAUUCCCUUGUUAGGUCCUUUCUUCUUCUAUUAGCCUCUUUAUUUAAAAGAUUUAGGUAUGCUAGGUAUAUAACUACAUUCUUCAUGGCACUAAACUCACUUUCACCAAUUUUUACCACUCCCAACUUAGGGUUUUUGCCUCUAAUUACCUUUCAAUUUAAAGAAGGGUAUGGUUCAAAAAAGGGGUAAAACUAAUGGUUCAUGGCUUAUAAUGUGUUUGCCGAUGAAAGUUCCGAAGGCUCGAAGUGGGCAACUAGGGAUAAUGUUCAUACCUUAGUAGGUUUUUUACGCUAAAGUGGGCUCCAAAAUCACAAAGGGCCUAAGAUCAUUUCUCCAACCAAAUACAAUCAAUGUUAGUUUUGAAAGACUAUUGGGGCAAGUUCUAGCUAACCCAAGUAUGCAAUAGAUGAAACCAAAAGCUCACGACACAUAGCAUGCAAAAACUAGCCAAGGAGGAUCAAUUGCCCCUCCCAUAAGAGACAGAAUUGUAGUAUCUCUCAUUAAUUACAAAUCAACAAUUUAUGGAGCCAUAAAAAGAGAAUAAGUUUUGUUACAACAUCACUCACGUCCAUGCCUCUGAUAUUUUAAAAAAAUUUGGAUGGAGGGGUUUGUUUAUUUCGCAAUAGCCCCACGCACAUUUUGCUAAACUAUUGUUACAACCACAACCUUAGACUCACAAUUGGCUCAAGACGAGAAAAUUAUCUAUAUGGCUACUGAGACUUCACCAAAGGUGUAAACAAAAUAAUUGCAAUUUUACAAAACAAAAUGCUACAGGUACUUAGACUUUCCUUGUAUUUUUUGACAUAUAUGCUAUGGGUACUCAGAAUUCUCUUGCAUUUAUGCCUCAAACCCAAAUACGACACUCCACCCUUAAGAAUAGAGUCACUCAAUCCAUCAUAGGGUAAAGUUCAUGCAUCAUCAUUAAAAGAAAUAAACAACUACAAACAAAAACAAUCAAUUCAUAAAAUUUCCAUGCUUCAUUAGGCUAAGUUCAAGUAUUAAAAACCAAUGAAUACACAUAAGGUUAGAGCCAUAUACCCCCAACUUAAGGACUUAUAGUGACCUCACUACAUAACAUAAUAACAUAAGAAGGGUUAAAAGGGCUCCCUGAAACCACUUUGAUAACCAUGGUGCAAACUAGACAGACUAUUGUGAUCAUGGUAUAUAUGCUGCGAUCAUAGUAACAUCAUCGUGAUCCUUGGUCUGCGAUCGCGGUACCUGAGGCGUUUUGCUCCCCUAUUUUGACCUAUUUUUCGUAGGGCUGUCACACUCCUUAAACUUGGUUUUUCCCCCUUUUUUGGCUACUAAUCUAGUCAAAGCACCUACAAAACAUGAAAAUUACGUGAAUUAUUCCAAAACUAAGUUGCACGAACAUAGAAAUAAUGGGUUUCCUCCCAUCAAGUGCCUUAUUUAUCAUCGGAACACGAAGACUUUAAUUUUCUUUUAUGUCUCUACUUGAAAAAUUUGAAUCUCCGUCCCAACUUUUGCUCUAUAUGCAAUGAGCGACAGAGGGACAGAAAAUUCAAAUCUUCCAAGAUAAAACCUAGGAGAGGUGGUAAAAUGGAAAGAAAGCCCCAAUCACACCAUUUUGAAAACUUAAACCUUUUACCCAACUUUACAUCGAUCUUCUUAAUUUGCUCCUUAGGUAAAAUUAAGCAUAUCAAUAAGCUAUUCCUUGUAGUUUGGAUGUUGAGCAUCUUGGCUUUUGAUGUUCACGGCUCCAUGUACUCAUUCAAAAUGAUAAACCCUAAAAUACAACAGUCGGACUCUACCUCCCCAUAAUUCUCUAUUUGGUUAAAAAGAUAGAUCUUCAUCACAUCCUCUAUGCCUAAUUUUGAAAAGUAGGUUGAACGAGGUCCAAAACCUAACUUUGGGUUAGCUUUCUCCAAAUCAUUGUCACAACAAAAUGAGUUAGAGUCAUCAUAAGAGGUUUGUUUUGCCUCUUCUUGACUCAAGUCUCAUUUCCAUUAUUAUGGCUUCUUCUCCUUCAUAUGAGUCGGAUGAUUGAGAAGUCAUUGAGGAAUCUUCCCUACCAAGAUCAUCAUCAUAACUUUGUUUCUCUUCAUAAUAACACUCCUCUUAAGUAGCAGGAAAGGUAGUGAUAGGUUCAAGCUUUUCUUCUUUGCCCAAGAGCUCUUUCUUAACACUUGUCCUUUUUUUGUAUAUGUAUUCCAUAUUUUCCCCUGUUGCAUCUACCCAAUCCAAGAUGGCUCAUAACCUUGGGUCACAACUACUGGAAUCGGUGCAUUUUUCUUUUGAUUUCUUAUCAUAUAACCUAAUAAAAUCAUAGGAAAAACUAGCAAUUCGAUUAGUAUAGUAGGGGGAAGGGGUGUUUUAACACUCAUCCCAAUGUCCUUGUAGAUAGCCACACAUUGGGUAACCAUACUCCCAAUCGGAUGGAGACGGUAAAAAAUCUCCUUGGGGAGCAUACUUACAAUCUCUCCUAAAGUGUGGUCCAUAACAAUAUGAACAUGGGUGAUAUGACUUUCAAUCGUUAAACUCAUAUUUAUUAGAGGAUGCGAUCGAGUAAAAUAAAAAUAAAAUAAAAUCUACUUGUAAAAAAAAUCACAAACGCAUAUAAACAAGCUUGAAUUUAAUCAAGCAAGCUAAAAUUUCAAACUAACUCAAUACACCAAAUUGUUCCCUGAUAACGACACCAUUUUUGAUAACGCUUACACAUUAAUUAAGGGCAAGGUGGUCGUCGUCAAUAUAUUUACCCAACUUUGGAGUCGGGGUCAAAUCCACGAUGACAAAUGAGAGUGGUGAUCAAAUUAAUUUGAAAAGAUAGAUACAAGUUAAAUUUAAAUAAAUGUUAUAAAAAGAAGGUUGUCGCAAUCACGGUCACUUACCGCGACCACGGUAUCCAAAGCUCCUCUUUUCCAAGUCUUCAGCUGCACUUUACUUACUCCCUUUUUGAUCAUUUUCAGCUCCAUUCCAUAUCUUCUAAUCUCCUCAACCUUAUACCUGUAAAAUAUG